rnacentral:rRNA from 1 species
CGUGGAGGUCCGAACCCACGAGCGUUGAAAAGCUCGGGGAUGACUUGUGGGUAGCGGUGAAAUUCCAAUCGAGCCCGGAGAUAGCUGGUUCGCCCCGAAAUAGCUUUAGGGCUAGCCUCAAGGUGAGGGAUACGGAGGUAGAGCACUGAAUGUCCUAGGGGGUAUUGCACCUACCGAAGACUAUCAAACUCCGAAUGCCGUCAUCUUAUACUUGGGAGU